rnacentral:tRNA from 1 species
GGAGCCGAGUAGAACGCUCGCACAGACUGCGCCCGGAGAAACCGCCGUUACUCAGCGAUGGACGGGGGUUCGAUUCCCCCCAUCUCCACCA